rnacentral:rRNA from 1 species
UCAGGCCUAACACAUGCAAGUCGAGCGCCCCGCAAGGGGAGCGGCGGACGGGUGAGUAACGCGUGGGAACGUGCCCCUUUCUACGGAAUAGCCUCGGGAAACUGGGAGUAAUACCGUAUAAGCCCUACGGGGGAAAGAUUUAUCGGGAAGGGAUCGGCCCGCGUUGGAUUAGGUAGUUGGUGGGGUAAUGGCCUACCAAGCCGACGAUCCAUAGCUGGUUUGAGAGGAUGAUCAGCCACACUGGGACUGAGACACGGCCCAGACUCCUACGGGAGGCAGCAGUGGGGAAUCUUAGACAGUGGGCGCAAGCCUGAUCUAGCCAUGCCGCGUGAUCGAAGGAGGCCUUAGGGUUGUAAAGCUCUUUCAGUGGGAAGAUA